GGGGCUGUAGCUCAGCUGGGAGAGCACCUGCUUUGCAAGCAGGGGGUUGUCGGUUCGAAUCCGAUCAGCUCCA
rnacentral:tRNA from 1 species